UCCGGGAGGCGGAGGCAGUCGGUGGGGGCCUAGUUGAGUGGAGGGGUAACAAGAUGGCGGCGGAGACGGUGGAGCUCCAUAAGCUGAAGCUGGCUGAACUAAAGCAAGAAUGUCUUGCUCGUGGUUUGGAGACUAAAGGAAUAAAGCAAGAUCUCAUUAACAGACUCCAGGCUUAUCUUGAGGAACAUGCUGAAGAAGAGGCAAAUGAAGAAGAUGUAUUGGGAGAUGAAACAGAGGAAGAAGAACCAAAGCCCAUAGAGCUGCCUGUCAAAGAAGAAGAACCCCCUGAAAAAACUGUUGAUGUGGCAGCAGAGAAGAAAGUAGUAAAAAUUACAUCUGAAAUAUCACAGACUGAGAGAAUGCAGAAGAGAGCUGAACGAUUCAAUGUACCUGUGAGUUUGGAGAGUAAGAAAGCUGCUCGUGCAGCUAGGUUUGGAAUUUCUUCUGUUCCAACAAAAGGUCUGUCAUCUGACAACAAGACUAUGGUUAACCUGGAUAAGCUAAAGGAAAGAGCACAAAGAUUUGGUUUGAAUGUCUCUUCAAUCUCUAGAAAGUCUGAAGAUGAUGAGAAACUGAAAAAGAGGAAAGAACGAUUUGGGAUUGUCACAAGUUCAGCUGGAACUGGAACCACAGAGGAUACAGAGGCAAAGAAGAGGAAAAGAGCAGAGCGCUUUGGGAUUGCAUGAUGAACAGUUCUUCAUGCUUUCUGUUCUCCAGUGGUUUCCAUUUCUAUGGUUCUUCUUGGUUACAUAUAUAUCUAAAUGCACAGUCACAUGUCUACUACAUCCAGCUCCCAGUGAGGGAGUGUGUACCCCAAGUACAUCUGUGAACUCCAGCAGCAAUUGGACUUACUGCUGUUCCAACUUUAAGGUUCAAGUGCUGGAUUGUGUCAUGUGACCAUCCCAAAACUCAGAGCACCCUAUGGCCAUCUUUGCCCUCUGUCACAUAACUUGAAAACUGCUUGAUGGCCUUUUUGCAAUGGUUCCUCUUUCCAGGAAGCCUUGAUCUCAGUGAAGAAGUCCUUUCCUGGCAUUCCAGUACCCCUCUCAGUCCCAUACUUCUCAGACACCCUUAACAAACAAAGGCAAUCACACAC